rnacentral:lncRNA from 1 species
AAUGCAUUUCCUUCCAAUUUUUUGUGAUAAACUAAUAGAUAAUUGACUAAAUAAGCAUCCUACAAAAUUUCAAUAAAAAUUUCCAAGUUUUUCUUACAAUUUCCGUGGUUUCCAUAUUAUUUUUAUCGAUAUCAAUAAUAUCCCGAUAUUUCCAUCGAUAUUUCCGUGUUUUUGGACUACCGAUAUUUCCGAUAUCAUCGAUAUUUUAUACCUUGCAUAUAAUUAUUGUGAAUGCUUUGAAGUACUAGUGCGAACUACGAAUGGCUUGAUCUCUGUUUAGGGUACGUAAGCAGUUUAACGAGACGUUAGAUGUAACCAUACAAUAAUUGAGACAAUAGCCUUGUUUGGGGAAUUGAGCAAUGUGAGGGACAUUGGUGGAAAAUGUGAGAUUUAACCUUAUGAUUUGGUGGUUAAAUGUUGGUCAUAAAUCAAUGUGUGAAGAAUCAAGAAAUUGAUGUAAGGAAUUGUAAGCAAUGAUAGUUAAUUAAACUAAUUUCUAAUUGGGCUUAUCACUGAUAAUUAUGCUCGGAAAUAAAUAGUUCGGGAGUAGGGCGUUACAACUUUUACAUUUUAUUCCAUAUUAUAUAUAUGUAUAUAUUUAGAAAUACUAUGAUAUGGUUGAAUUUUAGAUUGCAUCAUGGCAUAUCCAUAUGUACAUUACUUGCACAUAAUUAUUGUGAAUGCAUUGAAGUGCAAAGGUGAAUGCAGGACGCACAGGUAAGUUCAGGUGAGUUUAUGGUAUUAUUUGAAAUGAUUGAGUUAUUGUAUGACUACAUUUAUGUUUUAGGCAACUCCGACCUUGUCAUACAGGUUGCAAUAAUAGGCAACUCCGACACUGUCAUAUAGGUUGCCCAUGAGUCGUAUAUGUUAUAUUAAAUACAAUUAGAGCUCAUAAACUUGCACCCCCAUGUUAGUGCUCCCGUCCGUGGUCAAGGCAUAGUUCUUCACGUGAUGUUCACCACCCGCACCUUACGAUCACUUUGGAUCCAAUGUAGGUGCACAGUCAUGUCGUACAGACCACUAUAGGUGGUUCCGACUUGUAGGUGACCCAUAAUUAUUCACACAGUCUUCACGUGAUCGUAACACUUGAGCGUACUUAUUUACACACAGUCCUGUCGUACAGACCACUAUAGGUGGUUCCGACUUGUAGGUGACCCAUAAUUAUUCACA